UACCUCAUUGACUGGAAGGAAUCCCUUCCGGUUGAUGAGGAAGAUUUACCUCAUUGACCGGAGGAGAGUCCUUCCAGUCAAUGAGGAG
rnacentral:miRNA from 1 species